UACGUAGGGGGCAAGCGUUGUCCGGAUUUAUUGGGCGUAAAGAGCGUGUAGGCGGCUUUACAGGUCCGUUGUGAAAACUCGAGGCUCAACCUCGAGACGCCGGUGGAAACCGUAAGGCUAGAGUCCGGAAGAGGAGAGUGGAAUUCCUGGUGUAGCGGUGAAAUGCGCAGAUAUCAGGAGGAACACCAGUGGCGAAGGCGGUGCUCUGGGCCGGAACUGACGCUGAUGAGCGAAAGCGUGGGGAGCAAACAGG
rnacentral:rRNA from 1 species